CGAGAAUACGAUCCCAACUCAUCCUAUCUAUAUAGUUUGAGUUAGAUUUUAUUUUUGACCGCCUACGAUAAUGAUCAUUAGUCAAUCCAGUCUCAGAAAUGAGCUGACUAAGCUACUGAAACUGCUCUAUCCUGGCUAACUGCUUUUUUGGCUUGCUCUCUUGUUCCCUUGGCCUUUUCAUUUAUAUUUUCAAGGCUUGGGAACACUACACCUGCACUCACAUUCUUCACCUUGGUGCUUCAAAAUCCUUGUGAACUCAGCUACAUCCUUCAAACCCAUC
rnacentral:lncRNA from 1 species